GUGAACGCUGGCGGUAGGCCUAACACAUGCAAGUCGAACGGCAGCACAGUAAGAGCUUGCUCUUACGGGUGGCGAGUGGCGGACGGGUGAGGAAUACAUCGGAAUCUACUUUUUCGUGGGGGAUAACGUAGGGAAACUUACGCUAAUACCGCAUACGCCCUACGGGUGAAAGCAGGGGAUCUUCGGACCUUGCGCGAUUGAAUGAGCCGAUGUCGGAUUAGCUAGUUGGCGGGGUAAAGGCCCACCAAGGCGACGAUCCGUAGCUGGUCUGAGAGGAUGAUCAGCCACACUGGAACUGAGACACGGUCCAGACUCCUACGGGAGGCAGCAGUGGGGAAUAUUGGACAAUGGGCGCAAGCCUGAUCCAGCCAUACCGCGUGGGUGAAGAAGGCCUUCGGGUUGUAAAGCCCUUUUGUUGGGAAAGAAAAGCAGCAGGUUAAUACCCCGCUGUUCUGACGGUACCCAAAGAAUAAGCACCGGCUAACUUCGUG
rnacentral:rRNA from 1 species